rnacentral:rRNA from 1 species
GACGAACGCUGGCGGCGUGCUUAACACAUGCAAGUCGAACGGAAAGGCCCUGCUUUUGUGGGGUGCUCGAGUGGCGAACGGGUGAGUAACACGUGAGUAACCUGCCCUCGACUUUGGGAUAACUUCAGGAAACUGGGGCUAAUACCGGAUAGGAGCUCCUGCUGCAUGGUGGGGGUUGGAAAGUUUCGGCGGUUGGGGAUGGACUCGCGGCUUAUCAGCUUGUUGGUGGGGUAGUGGCUUACCAAGGCUUUGACGGGUAGCCGGCCUGAGAGGGUGACCGGCCACAUUGGGACUGAGAUACGGCCCAGACUCCUACGGGAGGCAGCAGUGGGGAAUAUUGCACAAUGGGCGGAAGCCUGAUGCAGCAACGCCGCGUGCGGGAUGACGGCCUUCGGGUUGUAAACCGCUUUCGCCUGCGACGAAGCGUGAGUGACGGUAAUGGGUAAAGAAGCACCGGCUAACUACGUG